rnacentral:rRNA from 1 species
GGUCGGGCUGUUCGCCCGUUAAAGAGGUACGUGAGCUGGGUUCAGAACGUCGUGAGACAGUUCGGUUUAUAUCCGCUGUGGACGUAAGGAAAUUUGAGAGGGGUCGAUCCUAGUACGAGAGGACCGGAUUGAACGCACCUCUGGUGUAUCGGUUGUCAUACCAAGGGCAUUGCCGAGUAGCUAUAGUGCGGCAUAGAUAAGCGCUGAAAGCAUAUUAAGCGCGAAACUAGCCUCAAGAUUAGAUUUCCCGCUGUGUCUCA